rnacentral:rRNA from 1 species
CACGUAGGGUGCGAGCGUUGUCCGGAUUCAUUGGGCGUAAAGAGCUCGUAGGCGGCUUGGCAAGUCGGGUGUGAAAACUCCAGGCUCAACCUGGGAACUGCAUUUGUGACUGCAUAGCUAGAGUGCGGCAGAGGGAGAUGGAAUUCCGCGUGUAGCAGUGAAAUGCGUAGAUAUCAGGAGGAACACCGGUGGCGAAGGCGGGUCUCUGGGCCGAUACUGACGCUGAGGAGCGAAAGCGUGGGGAGCGAAACAGG